CAGCUGCGAGACUUGGUGUGAAUUGCAGGACACAUUGAGCACUGACUUUUCGAACGCACAUUGCGGCCUCGGGUCCUACCCGGGGCCACGUCUGUCUGAGGGUCGGAUAUGCGCAUGCAGAAGGAGGUCUCCUCCUACGUGGUCGCACCGGAGACUCUCGUCUUCGCCGACCUAAGGCCUGCGUGCUCCACCGGUCCAGAAGCGUCCCGCAUAGGAUGCUCGCUCGUGGGGUUGGCGGACUCGAGCCAUCACUGAAGCGAGACGGCGGUCGAAGACGCGGAACCGGAGGACCGUUCUUGUCAAACUUUGUCGACCUCAGAUCAGGCGAGACGACCCGCUGAAUUUAA
rnacentral:misc_RNA from 1 species